rnacentral:tRNA from 1 species
GCGGGGGUGCCUGAGCGGUUAAAAGGGCAGGACUUAAGAUCCUGUGGCUUAGUGCCUACGGAGGUUCGAAUCCUCCCUCCCGCA